rnacentral:rRNA from 1 species
GAUGAACGCUGGCGGCGUGCCUAAUACAUGCGAGUCGAGCGAACAGACGAGGAGCUUGCCCCUCUGACGUUAGCGGCGGACGGGUGAGUAACACGUGGAUAACCUACCUAUAAGACUGGGAUAACUUCGGGAAACCGGAGCUAAUACCGGAUAAUAUAUUGAACCGCAUGGUUCAAUAGUGAAAGACGGUUUUGCUGUCACUUAUAGAUGGAUCCGCGCCGCAUUAGCUAGUUGGUAAGGUAGCGGCUUACCAAGGCAACGAUGCGUAGCCGACCUGAGAGGGUGAUCGGCCACACUGGAACUGAGACGAGGUCCAGACACCUACGGGAGGCAGCAGUAGCGAAACUUCCGCAGUGGGCGGAAGCCGGACGGAGCAACGCCGCGUGAGUGAUGAAGGUCUUCGGUUCGUAAAACGCUAUUAUUGGGGAAGAACAAAAGUGUAAGUAACUAUGCACGUCUUGACGGUACCUAAUCAGAAAGCCACGGCUAACUACGUG